AUGACAGCAAACUUCAAACAUCAGCGAGAUUUAUGUUCUUUUGCUAGAGUAAGUUAUUCAAAUUAUGUAAGCAAUUUUAAAGUUAUCUAUAUAACUUUUUACAUUACUUUUACAUGGUUAAAUUCUUUCAGUGGUGAGAAGAUAGGGAUCACUCUAUGGGUAAAACUUUUUGGAAGUAUGGUUAAUGGAGGUUUUGCACAAACAAACGAUCAUCAUUGUCACUACAAACUUUAUCAAAAAAAUAAAAGUUCAGAAUUCUCAUUAUUGAUUUAUUUUGCAUAUGUUACUCAUCUUAAUAUUUAA
rnacentral:rRNA from 1 species